GUCACCGUUCCUCAUGGCAUCAGCUGUCACACCAUAGACUCCUUAGAGUCGGAAGAAACCAUUUGUGAUGAUCUAUUCCGACUCCCCACAAGGAACAGGGAUGUUCACAGCUAGAUCAGAGCCCUAUCCAACCUCACCUUGGAAGGGACAGGGCAUCCAGCACAUCUCUGGGCAACCUGUUCCACUGCCUCACCACCCUUACUGUAAAAGAUAUUUUCCUUACACCUAACCUAAAUUUUCCUUUGUUCUUUCCUUUUGCUCCAAUUUAAGUAUCAAACGGCUGUUACCAGGUCACCUUGGAGCCUUCACUUCUCCGUGCUGAACAGCCCCAGCUCUCUCAGCCUGUCUUUGGAGGAGAGCUGUUUGAUCCCUUGUUUUUUUUUGUUUUUUUUUUUUGUGGCCAUCCUCUGAUGUGAUCCAACAGGUCCAUGUCUCUUCUGCACUGAGGACUCUACAUUCUGACACAAUCUCUACAUGUGGGAUUGUGCAGAAUAUGGACUCAGAUAAUGGAAGCCUCUUUACUUCACAGGUCCUACAGGAGCUGAUGAGAACUUUAGAAAUAAAGUGGGAGCUCCAUACUCUGUGGCACCCUCCUUCUUCAGGGAAAGUAGAAUGAAUCAAUCAGAUGCUGAAGAAGCACUUGUCAAAAUUGGUUUCAGAGACCAAAUUACCAUGGACAAAGUGUUUGCCUGUAGCCCUUGUCAGAAUACAAACCACUCACAGAAAAGGCUUAGGAGUAUCACCACACGAAGUGCUGUUUGGGUUGCUGUACUUGGGAAUGGUGAGAUGCCCGCUCUUGAAACCAAGGUGCACUCAUCCCGUGUUGGAGACUGGUCCUAAUACGCGCCUGGCAGAAAUCAAGGCUUCAGCCUGAGUGGGAUGGAAUGGACCAUUUCAGCGAUGCAGUGUUUCAGAAGGGAGAAAAACACGGCGAGCAUCAACUGGAUUUCUGUGGUUGGUGAAGCUGUGCUGAGAACUGGGAUGGCUGCUGCCCCUGGAAAUGUGUCUGCAGACUCUGCACCCAGAGGAAUGACUUUUCCCUGCAGGUUGGGCUUGUCUAAGGUGAUUUUUUCACAAGGAAAGAUUUGAAAUGCUGUUUGCUAAUGGAAGAUGGAGAGAGGAAAAUCAAGUCAAAGGCACACUGUGCACAGCCAGCACAUAGCAUCUGCACCGCUCUCCCCCUGCACAAAGGAGGAGCAGCUCAGCAAGCUUGGCCUGGGCCAGGAAGGCAGCACACAAACAUCUGGACCAACCCCAACGGAGCUCCUUCUGCAGGAAUCCAUGUGGGUUUUUUAAUGAAGAACAGACUCAUUGUGCAGCUUGCGAGUGAAUUCAUUCACGCAUGUUAAUUGG